GCCAGUGGUGAACUCCACAUACGCAUCCUUUGCUGAGGAUACGGUUAACGGAGCGAAAGCGACGUUCAACCGCAAAAGAAGCAGAGGGGGCUUAGUGGUGGGGUGACUGCGUACCUUUUGUAUAAUGGGUCAGCGACUUAUAUUCUGUAGCAAGGUUAACCGAAUAGGGGAGCCGGAGGGAAACCGAGUCUUAACCGGGCGUUAAGUUGCAGGGUAUAGACCCGAAACCCGGUGAUCUAGCCAUGGGCAGGUUGAAGGUUGGGUAACACUAACUGGAGGACCGAACCGACUAAUGUUGAAAAAUUAGCGGAUGACCUGUGGCUGGGGGUGAAAGGCCAAUCAAACCGGGAGAUAGCUGGUUCUCCCCGAAAGCUAUUUAGGUAGCGCCUCGUGAAUUCAUCUCCGGGGGUAGAGCACUGUUUCGGCUAGGGGGCCAUCCCGGCUUACCAACCCGAUGCAAACUGCGAAUACCGGAGAAUGUUAUCACGGGAGACACACGGCGGGUGCUAACGUCCGUCGUGAAGAGGGAAACAACCCAGACCGCCAGCUAAGGUCCCAAAGUCAUGGUUAAGUGGGAAACGAUGUGGGAAGGCCCAGACAGCCAGGAUGUUGGCUUAGAAGCAGCCAUCAUUUAAAGAAAGCGUAAUAGCUCACUGGUCGAGUCGGCCUGCGCGGAAGAUGUAACGGGGCUAAACCAUGCACCGAAGCUGCGGCAGCGAACGUAUCACUUAAAGCGAUUCAGCGGGUUACGAUUGACGGAGCGAAGCGACGUCAAAGCGUAUACAAAGUCGAGUCGGUUUAAGGAUACGUUCGUUGGGUAGGGGAGCGUUCUGUAAGCCUGUGAAGGUGGCCUGUGAGGGUUGCUGGAGGUAUCAGAAGUGCGAAUGCUGACAUAAGUAACGAUAAAGCGGGUGAAAAGCCCGCUCGCCGGAAGACCAAGGGUUCCUGUCCAACGUUAAUCGGGGCAGGGUGAGUCGACCCCUAAGGCGAGGCCGAAAGGCGUAGUCGAUGGGAAACGGGUUAAUAUUCCCGUACUUGGUGUUACUGCGAAGGGGGGACGGAGAAGGCUAUGUUGGCCGGGCGACGGUUGUCCCGGUUUAAGCGUGUAGGUGUGUGUUCCAGGUAAAUCCGGUUCACUUUAACACUGAGGCGUGAUGACGAGGCACUACGGUGCUGAAGUAACAAAUGCCCUGCUUCCAGGAAAAGCCUCUAAGCAUCAGGUAACAUCAAAUCGUACCCCAAACCGACACAGGUGGUCAGGUAGAGAAUACCAAGGCGCUUGAGAGAACUCGGGUGAAGGAACUAGGCAAAAUGGUGCCGUAACUUCGGGAGAAGGCACGCUGACACGUAGGUGAAGUGAUUUACU
rnacentral:rRNA from 1 species